UAAAUUUCAUGUAUGUAUAAAUACAUACACACUUGUGUAUAUAGAAAUAUAUUUGUAGAAAAUAUAUAUAUACACAAGUAAAUGUG
rnacentral:miRNA from 1 species